rnacentral:rRNA from 1 species
UACGAAGGGGGCUAGCGUUGCUCGGAAUCACUGGGCGUAAAGGGUGCGUAGGCGGGUCUUUAAGUCAGGGGUGAAAUCCUGGAGCUCAACUCCAGAACUGCCUUUGAUACUGAAGAUCUUGAGUUCGGGAGAGGUGAGUGGAACUGCGAGUGUAGAGGUGAAAUUCGUAGAUAUUCGCAAGAACACCAGUGGCGAAGGCGGCUCACUGGCCCGAUAUUGACGCUGAACGACGAAAGCUAGGGGAGCAAACGGG